UACAGAGGGUGCGAGCGUUAAUCGGAAUUACUGGGCGUAAAGCGUGCGUAGACGGUUAUCUAAGUCGGAUGUGAAAGCCCCGGGCUCAACCUGGGAAUUGCAUUCGAGACUGAAUAGCUAGGGUGCGGUAGAGGGAAGCGGAAUUUCCGGUGUAGCGGUGAAAUGCGUAGAUAUCGGAAGGAACAUCAGUGGCGGAAGCGGCUUCCUGGACCAGCACCGACGUUCAGGCACGAAAGCGUGGGGAGCAAACAGG
rnacentral:rRNA from 1 species